AAUGAACAUAAAAGUCGAAGGAACAGAAAGGGACAGGACGACGUCUCGAACGUCGUCUUGCUUUUGAGACGUCGUCCUGUCCCUUUCUGUUCCUUCGACUGUUAUGCUCAUUUCUG
rnacentral:pre_miRNA from 1 species